UUUAUCUUCAGAAACACGGAGAUGUUCAGAGUGCAACUUUUCAGGAUAGUGGUGGACACUAAGUGAGUUUACACAUAUAAAGUACUUGGAACAGUGCCUGGCACAAAAUAAGGACUACAUUAGUGUUAGUUAUUAGUAUAAGCUUGCACAGCUUACAUUCUAGUAGGUGAGGAAAUAACCCAAACAGACAAACAAAAAAUAUUAGGCAGGUGAUAAAUGCCAUGAAGAAAAUAAAAGAGAAAGGUGGGAGAGAGCACUACUGAGGGUCUGUCUCGUACCAGGUGACCUGGGAAUGUCUCUAUGAGGGUUGACAUUUAGCAGCAAUGAAGUGUUUGUGGGAAGAGCUUUCAAGGGCCAGCAGAUACAGGGGCUGUGAAGGCAGGCCUGAGCUGGCCGGCUGGAGGCUGGAGCACGCAGGUGGAGGGCAAGGUGCAGGAGAUAGUCUGGGAGGAGCUUGGGGCCAGACACCACUGGGGCUUUGUGAGUCCGGGAAAUAAUUUGGAUUUGAUUCUUAGUACAAUGGCAAACCAUUGCAGAGUUUUAAGCAGCAGAGACUGAUGUUUAAAAUGCUAAUGCUGUCUGCAGGUGGAAGGAGAAUAGCUUGUGAGAGUGUAUGAGUGGAAUGAAGGGGUCAGAUGAGAGAACACGGCGGAGAUGGAGAGAAGCAGAGAACUUGAUGCAUAUUUUGGAGGCAAAAUCGACAAGAUUGGCUGAUGGAUUAGAAGCAGAAGAUUUUGCCAUAGAGAAAUCGCUUGCUUUUUAAUCUUUCCAAUUUGUGAACCAACCAACCAGUCUACCAACCAGCCAACCAACCAACUACUCCACCAGUCAACUAACUCCUCCCACAGACAAAGACUGGAGAAUGCUUCAAUCUGGUACAGAGACCAAAGCAAAGUAAUACUGUAUCAUGUACAGAUCUCAACUCUGUGAAGACAGUCCCUCAUGCUGUAGGAAGUCAGCCUUGAAUAUCUAGGCUUAGGGGAGGCUGAGAAAGGUCACCGCAGGAGAAGUAAGUGGUUGGGGACAGGUCAGGAUGCAGGACUCUCAUUUCUCAUGGAGAGAUUUUGCUUUUUUAAAACGUCAGACCUACUGGUGUUUGCACUCAGUUUUCUUUCUUAUAAAAAUCAACUCUAUUGAAGUGUACUGCCCAAUCAAGAUAUAGAACAUUUUCAUCACCCUAGAAAACUUCCUUGUGCCCCAAAUCCCAUCACUGAUGUGAUUUCUAUCACUAUAGCUGAGUUUUGUCUAUCCUAGAACUUUACAUAAAUUGUCCUUUUCUUUUGACUUUGUUUAUGUAGUUUUUUUCUCAUGUGGAAGAAAAAUAAUUAUUGCAGUUUUAUGGUUUUAAAAAAAUAUUCAAAUCGGAUUCAUCUGAUAUUUAUUUUGGUGUAGUGUGUGAAAGGCGCAGAUCUAAUCUCAUUUGUUUUCUCCCAGAGAGCUACCUGGUUGUUUCAACAUCAUUUAUUGAUAAAUGUAUCUUUUAUCUCACUAGUUUAAAUGCCACCUUUAUCAUAUAUUAAAUUCCCAAGUGUGCUCGGGUAUAUUUCUGGACCCUCCUUUCUUUUCCUUUGAUGUGUUUAUUCAUGUCUCAAUACAAUACUCUUUUA